rnacentral:tRNA from 1 species
GGUAAGAUGGCUGAGCGUUUAAGCGGUGGAUUGUAGACCCAUGGACAGAGGUUAAACUCCUCUUCUUAUCA